rnacentral:miRNA from 10 species
UGAGGCAGGAGAAUUGCUUGAACCCAGGAGGUGGAGGCUGCAGUGAGCUGAGAUUGUGCCACUGCACUCCAGCCUGGGUGACAGAGCGAGACUUCAUCUCA